AGAGUUUGAUCCUGGCUCAGAUUGAACGCUGGCGGCAUGCUUUACACAUGCAAGUCGAGCGGCAGCGCGGGGGCAACUCUGGCGGCGAGCGGCGGACGGGUGAGUAAUGCAUCGGAACGUAUCCCGUAGUGGGGGACAACCCAGCGAAAGCUGGGCUAAUACCGCAUAUGCUCCACGGAGGAAAGGGGGGGAUCCGCAAGGACCUCCUGCUAUGGGAGCGGCCGAUGUCCGAUUAGCUAGUUGGUGGGGUAAAGGCUUACCAAGGCGACGAUCGGUAGCUGGUCUGAGAGGAUGAUCAGCCACACUGGGACUGAGACACGGCCCAGACUCCUACGGGAGGCAGCAGUGGGGAAUUUUGGACAAUGGGGGCAACCCUGAUCCAGCCAUGCCGCGUGCGGGAAGAAGGCCUUCGGGUUGUAAACCGCUUUUGGUCGGGAAGA
rnacentral:rRNA from 1 species